CAAUUGGGAUUACAAUAUGUUAUCAAAUCAGAGCAAACAAAGGCUUCUCUCUCUCUCUCUCUCUGCGUUCUCUGUGCUGUUGGCACGAGAGGAGUUGUGUACUAGCCAGUCUUCAGAGCCAGGGAGAGUCUGAUGCUAAAUAAAGAGAGAUUCCCCGCAAACUGAUUACGAUUCCAGAAUAAUUGAUUAUCCAAUAAGAAAUGAGCAGCAGCACCGGUGCCAUGUUGCAUGAUGUCACUGAUGCAGAUUGAACACCGAAAAUACUGUUUAGCGUGCCUACCUGACCGGGGUUAGAAGAGAUCAACUAGAAGGGAAGAUGUGGGGUUUGGCCGAGUGUGGUGGACUCUGAGAGAACAGGUGGACAUAAGCCAGAGGAGACAUGGAGAGCCAGCCCAAUCCCAGCCAGGAGAAACAUGCCAGGGCCAGCCAGACAGCGGUUGUGUCCCAAACGGCACCCUUCUCACUUUAUAGUGCACUUCUUUUGACCAGGGCCCAUAGGGCUCUGGUCAAAAAUAGUGCACUUUAAAGUGGUUAGGGUGUCAUUUGAGACUCUGCCAGAGCCAGCUUGGCCACAAACAGGGGUCAGGCAGGGCCAGGCGUCACAUAAAUCAACCUGACGUGUUCACCCAGGCCUGCCCACGCCCUGUGCCAGGGCCUACCCGCGGCCUGCACCCGUGCCCACCCCGCACCAACCAGGCCCACACCCCACUGGUGCCUGGGCUAUUUCCAUGCCUGGUUCAGGGGUGGAUUUGGAACGGGUCAGCUGAUCGGGUUCCAGGGCCCCGGUCAGAAAGUCUUCAGGUGCCUUCUGCCUUUACAGUCUCCCAUGCCAAGGAGUGUGGAGGGAGGCUGGUCCUAACACAAAAGCAGACUGAACAGAGAGAUAGUGUGUUAUUGUUUGAGUGGGUCUCAGAGGUAUUUUGAUGACCGUGUGUAUUUGAAUGGUAAUGUGGACCUAGCUAAGAAUUGUUAAUAAACUGCUCAGCUAGGAGAGCGGAGUAUUUUUAAGAUGAUAUUCAUCUGUCCUUUACAAGACAAUUCUGUAUUAAGGAUAACUGUGUAGCAUCGCCAUAUAGACAUUCAAGCAAUAAUCUUCUCAUCUGUCCAAACAUAGCUAAUUAAUUAGCCUGUUGAUUUCUGUUUCAGAUAUCCAUGUGCAACUGAUAACGAUAACCUUAAAUCAGUUUGUUCGUUAAGCGAUCACUUUGCUACGGGCUUUUGAGGAUGCAAUGUGCCAUUAUUCAAUUAACAGAGCAAUCUCCUUUUAAUAAAUGGAAUUGUAUUU